GACCUUAUAGCUCAGUCGGUAGAGCAUGAGAUUUUUAAUCUCAGGGCUGUGGGUUUGAGCCCCACAUUGGGUAA